rnacentral:lncRNA from 1 species
GCAGUCGGUCCUGAUUGUGUUAAGUCCUAUGCUGAGUACACAAGACACCACUUUUCCUUUCUUGCACGGAUCCAAGGAAAGGUGUCAAGAUAAGUCAAUGGGUGAAGGACAGAUUUUUCAACAACAGAUGAUGGAAGAACUGAAUGUUCAUACAGAAAAAUGUGACCCUGAACCUUUACCCUACGUUUCAAGAAGAUUAGAGACCUAAAUGUAAGAGUGAAAGCUAUAUAACUAGUGGAACAAAACAGUGUAAAUCAUCGUAACCUCAGGUAUUUUUGAGUGUUCACUAUAUGCCAGGUAAUGUGCUGCACACCAUGGAUUUAACCAUGAGAAGACCCCCGAAAAAGGAAAUGAG